AUUGAACGCUGGCGGCAUGCCUAACACAUGCAAGUCGAACGGCAGCACGGCAGUAGCAAUACUGUGGGUGGCGAGUGGCGGACGGGUGAGGAAUACGUCGGAAUCUGCCCAGUCGUGGGGGAUAACUAGCCGAAAGGUUAGCUAAUACCGCAUACGACCGAGAGGUGAAAGCGGGGGACCGCAAGGCCUCGCGCGAUUGGAUGAGCCGACGUCGGAUUAGCUAGUUGGUGGGGUAAAGGCCCACCAAGGCGGCGAUCCGUAGCUGGUCUGAGAGGAUGAUCAGCCACACUGGAACUGAGACACGGUCCAGACUCCUACGGGAGGCAGCAGUGGGGAAUAUUGGACAAUGGGCGCAAGCCUGAUCCAGCAAUGCCGCGUGUGUGAAGAAGGCCUUCGGUUGUAAG
rnacentral:rRNA from 1 species